CAGCAGCCGCGGUAAUACGUAGGUGGCGAGCGUUGUCCGGAAUUAUUGGGCGUAAAGGGAGCGCAGGCGGACAUAUAAGUCCAUCUUAAAAGUGCGGGGCUCAACCCCGUGAGGGGAUGGAAACUGUAUGCCUUGAGUGCAGGAGAGGAAAGCGGAAUUCCCAGUGUAGCGGUGAAAUGCGUAGAUAUUGGGAGGAACACCAGUGGCGAAGGCGGCUUUCUGGACUGUAACUGACGCUGAGGCUCGAAAGCCAGGGGAGCGAACGGGAUUAGAUACCCGAGUAGUCCCUGUCUCUUAUACA
rnacentral:rRNA from 1 species